CCAGAAAGGGACGGCUAANUACGUGCCAGCAGCCGCGGUAAUACGUAGGUCCCGAGCGUUGUCCGGAUUUAUUGGGCGUAAAGCGAGCGCAGGCGGUUAGAUAAGUCUGAAGUUAAAGGCUGUGGCUUANCCAUAGUACGCUUUGGAAACUGUUUAACUUGAGUGCAGAAGGGGAGAGUGGAAUUCCAUGUGUAGCGGUGAAAUGCGUAGAUAUAUGGAGGAACACCGGUGGCGAAAGCGGCUCUCUGGUCUGUAACUGACGCUGAGGCUCGAAAGCGUGGGGAGCGAACAGGAUUAGAUACCCUGGUAGUCCACGCCGUAAACGAUGAGUGCUAGGUGUUAGGCCCUUUCCGGGGCUUAGUGCCGCAGCUAACGCAUUAAGCACUCCGCCUGGGGAGUACGACCGCAAGGUUGAAACUCAAAGGAAUUGACGGGGGCCCGCACAAGCGGUGGAGCAUGUGGUUUAAUUCGAAGCAACGCGAAGAACCUUACCAGGUCUUGGCAUCCCGAUGCCCGCUCUAGAGAUAGAGUUUUACUUCGGUACAUCGGUGACAGGUGGUGCAUGGUUGUCGUCAGCUCGUGUCGUGAGAUGUUGGGUUAAGUCCCGCAACGAGCGCAACCCUUAUUGUUAGUUGCCAUCAUUCAGUUGGGCACUCUAGCGAGACUGCCGGUAAUAAACCGGAGGAAGGUGGGGAUGACGUCAAAUCAUCAUGCCCCUUAUGACCUGGGCUACACACGUGCUACAAUGGCUGGUACAACGAGUCGCAAGUCGGUGACGGCAAGCUAAUCUCUUAAAGCCAGUCUCAGUUCGGAUUGUAGGCUGCAACUCGCCUACAUGAAGUCGGAAUCGCUAGUAAUCGCGGAUCAGCACGCCGCGGUGAAUACGUUCCCGGGCCUUGUACACACCGCCCGUCACACCACGAGAGUUUGUAACACCCGAAGUCGGUGAGGUAACCUUUUAGGAGCCAGCCNCCUAA
rnacentral:rRNA from 1 species